UACGUAGGCAGCGAGCGUUGUUCGGAAUUACUGGGCGUAAAGAGUGUGUAGGCGGUGCUCCCAGUCUGUUGUGAAAUCUCCCGGCUUAACUGGGAGGGUGCAGCGGAAACUAGAGUGCUAGAGGGUGGGAGAGGUAAGCGGAAUUCCUGGUGUAGCGGUGAAAUGCGCGGAUAUCAGGAGGAACACCGGUGGCGAAGGCGGUGGGCUGGGCCGGAACUGACGCUGAGGAGCGAAAGCGUGGGGAGCGAACAGG
rnacentral:rRNA from 1 species